rnacentral:rRNA from 1 species
GGCUUAUUGAGUAUAAUUUUAGGUYUGACCUGCCCAAUGAUAAGUUAAAUGGCCGCGGUACUUUGACCGUGCAAAGGUAGCAUAAUCAUUAGUUUUUUAAUUGAAAGCUUGAAUGAAAGGUUUGAUGAAAAAAUAGCUGUCUCUAGAGAAAUUUAUUAGAAUUUUAUUUUUAAGUUAAAAAGCUUAGAUGAUUGUUGAAGACGAGAAGACCCUAUAGAAUUUUAUACUGUAAAAGAUAGGUUUAUUUUUGGAAUUAAAGGUUUAUUUUUUUUUACAUGUAUUUUAUUGGGGCGAUAGAAAAACUAAGUUAACUUUUUUUGUAAGAGAUACACUAGUUUGUGAGUUAUUGAUCCUUGAAUUAAGAUUAUAAGAUUAAAUUACCUUAGGGAUAACAGCGUUAUUUUUUUUAGAGUUCUUAUCGAAAAAAAAGAUUGCGACCUCGAUGUUGGAUUAAAAUUUAUUGUGGGUGUAGAAGCUUACAGGUUAGGUCUGUUCGACCUUUAAAAUUUUACAUGAUCUGAGUUUAAA